CUGGAACUAAAAAGUCAGUUACAAAGGACAAGCCUGUACCUAGAUAUCUGUCAACAGAGUCUCCAAUCCUAGGUUCUUCUUUUCAUCUCCUCCUCUGAUCUAACUAGCUACACUGUGAUUUUUAAGGCUUUGGGGAACCCUUGUUGAACUUAUCUUUAGGGCUCCGAGAGCUGUCCAUACUGGGCUCUGUUGCAAUUGUGUGAUUGACAAUCUGCUGGCUCAGGUACAGUAGCACAUUCAGAUUUCCCUCGGGGUUUCUCUGGGGUACAGAUGUUUCCACACAAGCCAUCUGUUCCUUGUCAGUGGUGAGCAGAAUGACAUCACAAAGUGUUUAUAGAAUCUGUUUAUAUGUGCCUUAUUUUUAACUUCCAAGUGAGCCACGCUGCUGCUGCUGACUUUUCCUCCUAGUGGGCUUAAUAUCAGGGACAGAGCUUCGCAGAUGGCCAGUCUAUCACCUUCACAGAAUAAGGGAUCUGAACUUGUGAAAAACAGAAGCUCAUAUGAAGAUGGAGUUUCACUCAAGAUAUAGGUCUAUAAGGGGCUAGAUUUCUUCAUGCCAUACUCUAGAAUCAUUCUGGCAAAUGUACAUCUCAGGAAACCUAAGCUCCCAAAAUUAUUAGAAAGAGGAUAGAGCUCCUGGAGGAGCACAAACAGCUUCUGUAACGCCAGAGAUUCAAUCAUGGGGUGCCCGGCAGCCUUUCAUAGUUCCACCACUCGUAGGAGACAGAAAUGGAUGGCCCAGUGUGCUGACGUGGAAGGAGCGCAGUUACCAACUACUGACAUCUGCUGUGGCCAUGGAUGAGAAUGCUGUCUGCAGGUGCUGACCGCUGCCCAUAACUGCAUGCAAAGUCCUAAAUCAUUGGUAUCUAGUAUUUUUUCCUGUUUUGCUGUUAACAGUGGAUAACUCCUUUACCAUGGGUCUCUCUGAAAUA